GAUGAACGCUGGCGGCGUGCCUAAUACAUGCAAGUCGAGCGAACAGACGAGGAGCUUGCUCCUUCGACGUUAGCGGCGGACGGGUGAGUAACACGUAGGUAACCUACCUAUAAGACUGGGAUAACUUUGGGAAACCGGAGCUAAUACCGGAUAAUAUUUCGAACCGCAUGGUUCGAUAGUGAAAGAUGGCUUUGCUAUCACUUAUAGAUGGACCUGCGCCGUAUUAGCUAGUUGGUAAGGUAACGGCUUACCAAGGCAACGAUACGUAGCCGACCUGAGAGGGUGAUCGGCCACACUGGAACUGAGACACGGUCCAGACUCCUACGGGAGGCAGCAGUAGGGAAUCUUCCGCAAUGGGCGAAAGCCUGACGGAGCAACGCCGCGUGAGUGAUGAAGGUCUUCGGAUCGUAAAACUCUGUUAUUAGGGAAGAACAAACGUGUAAGUAACUGUGCACGUCUUGACGUUACCUAAUCAGAAAGCCACGGCUAACUACGUG
rnacentral:rRNA from 1 species